GAGAGUAUAGCUCAGUGGUAGAGUGCGUGCUUAGCAAGCCCGAGGUCCUGGGUUCAAUCCCCGGUACUUCUA
rfam:Camelus ferus unplaced genomic scaffold scaffold394, whole genome shotgun sequence.